CUACGGGGCGCUCCAGUGAGGAAUAUUGCACAAUGGGGGGAACCCUGAUGCAGCAACGCCGCGUGGAGGAUGACGCAUUUCGGUGUGUAAACUCCUUUUAUAUGUCAAGAAAAUGACGGUAGCAUAUGAAUAAGCACCGGCUAACUCCGUGCCAGCAGCCGCGGUAAUACGAGGGUGCAAGCGUUACUCGGAAUCACUGGGCGUAAAGGACGCGUAGGCGGGGUGGAAAGUCAGGUGUGAAAUCCUACAGCUUAACUGUAGAACUGCACUUGAAACUUCUAAUCUAGAGUAUGGGAGGGGGAGAUGGAAUUAGUGGUGUAGGGGUAAAAUCCGCAGAUAUCACUAGGAAUACCUAAAGCGAAGGCGAUCUCCUGGAACAUUACUGACGCUAAGGCGUGAAAGCGUGGGGAGCAAACAGGAUUAGAUACCCCCGUAGUC
rnacentral:rRNA from 1 species